CUCGCCUAUCGGAUUCCCCUCUCUGUGCUGCCGCUGGAUAACUGCCUCUCUGUGAUCGGACCUGGACCCCCCUGGAUUACGCCCCUGGAUUUCCCUGAACGGAUCGUCUGCCCCCCUGUAGUCGCUCUACGGCUUCAGCCCUGGAACCCCGGCCCGAAGUUAAAGCCCAAGCUUUGGAGUCCCACUACCAGGGAGGUUUCCAGUCACAGAGCGCGCAGCGAGCUCCGAGUGCCUGCGGCGGCGUAUCUAAAAUAAACUUGUUUAAAUGCCA